rnacentral:rRNA from 1 species
AUUGAACGCUGGCGGAAUGCUUUACACAUGCAAGUCGAACGGCAGCACGGACUUCGGUCUGGUGGCGAGUGGCGAACGGGUGAGUAAUACAUCGGAACGUGCCCAGUCGUGGGGGAUAACGUAGCGAAAGCUACGCUAGUACCGCAUACGAUCUACGGAUGAAAGCGGGGGAUCGCAAGACCUCGCGCGAUUGGAGCGGCCGAUGGCAGAUUAGGUAGUUGGUAGGGUAAAGGCCUCCCAAGCCGACGAUCUGUAGCUGGUCUGAGGGGAUGAUCAGCCACACUGGGACUGAGACACGGCCCAGACUCCUACGGGAGGCAGCAGUGGGGAAUUUUGGACAAUGGGCGCAAGCCUGAUCCAGCCAUUCCGCGUGCAGGAUGAAGGCCUUCGGGUUGUAAACUGCUUUUGUACAGAACGAAAAGGCUCUGGUUAAUACCUGGGGCUCAUGACGGUACUGUAAGAAUAAGCACCGGCUAACUACGUGCCAGCCGCCGCCGUAA